CUCGCCCCACGCAGGCAGGAAGCGCAAGCCCCUUCGCGGCUUCUCCACCAUCUCUUCGUCUAGAUCUCAGCAACCCGGCAGUAGGAACAGGAGGAGGAGGAGCAAUGCCGAAGGGACUCACGUCCCCAAGCAGACCAAGGCGAGCAUCAAGCGCGUGUGCUGCGACGCGUGCGGCACCCGCGGCGGCUUCACGCUCGAGGAGAUGAACUCGCACGGGACUGGUGCGCUGCGGCGAAGCAGCAGGCGGACAAGGCCGCCAAGGCCAAGAGAUCACCUCACCGCCGUUAGGCCACCACGAUCGUGCUCCUUGCUGCAGGCUUACGGCGCGGAUCCGGCAAGACGCAAGAGUUUUUCGAAGGAGCAGUUAGAGUGUACAGGAAUCGAUAGCAAAGCAAUACUAGUAUACAGCAAUUAGUCUUUCGCAGGAUGAGUAAGUUCUCGGGGUUUUUGCAUAUUACCCGUACUACUAGUACUGUCAUGCACUUUAAGCAUCAGAACUCUAGAUGAUUGGAAUCCGUGUCUACUAUGAAAUGAAGGACAACCAUUAUCAUCCAUGAUUCGUCAGCUCUAUUUCACAACUGUUUGGGUUGCAAUUCACAACUGAUUUGAGUUUCAUAUCCACGAUGAUGCCGCGCAUGUUUGGUUUCCAUCUCAUAUUACCAUAUAACUGCUGUGCACUCACUUCAACAAGUGCUAUUAGACUGAAAUCUGAAUGGCCAUACUUUUUUAAGUUUUUCCUGCUAAUUAAGAGCUUGGUGUAUUGGCUACGACAACCUUAAGAGAUCGAUCAAUCCAUGGCAAAAUGUGGCAUUAGUUGCACAGAAUUUUUUUUAUUUACACCCAUAAAUGCAUCUGCAUGUAGUAAGCCAUCAUGGUGCAUCUGUUCUGCUCUGCUUCCUCACCCAGCCCAAUGCCCAGUUGCCCUCCUCUUCUUUAGGAUUAGCCAUUAGGUCACAUAGUUGUAUGCACCAAUUACAAGGUUAAUUUCUUAUCAGUGGGCUGUAACCAAGUGCAACAAGACAGAUUAUCCUAUCCAGCUAUCCGCGUAGUUUUUUUCAAACACUUAUGAUUCUGUAUUAUACCAAACAUGUUCUAUUGCAUGCCCAUCAUACCAAAAGGAUAAAACUGCAUUAAAACUUUCUGCGACCCAAUUCAUUUCGUUAUUGCAAUUUAAGGACACGUGGUGGAUUCGGUCAAUUCCAACCUAGAGAUCCAGAUAUGCUUCUCUACAGUGUUUUUAUAUCUUGCUGAUAAAUCAAUCAAUCCA